GGCGAACGGGUGAGUAAUGUAUCGGAACGUGCCCAGUUGUGGGGGAUAACUGCUCGAAAGAGCAGCUAAUACCGCAUACGACCUGAGGGUGAAAGCGGGGGAUCGCAAGACCUCGCGCAAUUGGAGCGGCCGAUAUCAGAUUAGGUAGUUGGUGGGGUAAAGGCUCACCAAGCCGACGAUCUGUAGCUGGUCUGAGAGGACGACCAGCCACACUGGGACUGAGACACGGCCCAGACUCCUACGGGAGGCAGCAGUGGGGAAUUUUGGACAAUGGGCGCAAGCCUGAUCCAGCCAUGCCGCGUGCGGGAAGAAGGCCUUCGGGUUGUAAACCGCUUUUGUCAGGGAAGAAAAGGCUCCUGUUAAUACCGGGGGCUCAUGACGGUACCUGAAGAAUAAGCACCGGCUAACUACGUGCCAGCAGCCGCGGUAAUAC
rnacentral:rRNA from 1 species